rnacentral:rRNA from 1 species
GACGAACGCUGGCGGCGUGCUUAACACAUGCAAGUCGAACGGAAAGGCCCUGCUUUUGUGGGGUGCUCGAGUGGCGAACGGGUGAGUAACACGUGAGUAACCUGCCCUUGACUUUGGGAUAACUUCAGGAAACUGGGGCUAAUACCGGAUAGGAGCUCCUGCUGCAUGGGGGGGGUUGGAAAGUUUCGGCGGUUGGGGCUGGACUCGCGGCUUAUCAGCUUGUUGGUGGGGUAGUGGCUUACCAAGGCUUUGACGGGUAGCCGGCCUGAGAGGGUGACCGGCCACAUUGGGACUGAGAGACGGCCCAGACUCCUACGGGAGGCAGCAGUGGGGAAUAUUGCACAAUGGGCGGAAGCCUGAUGCAGCAACGCCGCGUGCGGGAUGACGGCUUUCGGGUUGUAAACCGCUUUCGCCUGUGACGAAGCGUGAGUGACGGUAAUGGGUAAAGAAGCACCGGCUAACUACGUG